UAGGGAGGUAGCGGGUGUCUUCGAAAAGCCGCUGGGAGAGGGCCUCCGGAGACCCCCCCCGCAUCGCCAUUCCCGCUCUGCUUCUGCGAAGCUUUGUGACCUUGGGCGAGUGGCUUGGCCUCUCUGAACCCCGGGUGCUUCCACCCAAAGUGAGGGUGACCACAGGCCGCCUCCGGGGGGCCCAUGAGAAAGUCGUGAGCUCACAAAGGCCCGGCGCCCGCAUCCCUGAGGCGGCUGGCCUGCCCUGGGAUGUGACGGGAACAAGCUUUGUGAGAAAACCUCGCCCAAAUGGAGCCGUUAGGCCGGCCUCCUUUCACGAGUCACUUCCUCAGCUUCGGGAGCCCAGAGGGUGCAAGCACACCGGCCAGGGUCAGGGAGCAUUUCCAUUGGCCCGGAUUGCGGGUUGGGGACAGGCGGGGGAGAAGGUGGUGGCCCAGCCAUAACUGCGGGCAGCGGUCUGCCAUCUCCAAUAAGGAAACCUAGGCCCCGGGAGCAAGAAAGUCAUUCUUCCCGGCCCUUCCUGUCGAUCCCUCCAUCUGGCCCGCUUUUGCAUUCGUUCAGCAGCUCUCCGGGGCGGGGCGGGGUGGGGGGGGGGGCUUGCGAGCCAAGCCUGCCUUCGCGCCUGUGGAGCCAACAGCCUGGUGCCGGGUACUAGGCAAUAGAGAUUGAUUGAGUAAAUGAAUGCAUUUCUUCAGGACAUAGUCCAAGAUACAAACCUCCUAACAAGACGUUCUCCAGCCUUGAGACUUCAAAGUUGCACAGAUAUUGCAGAGCCAUAGUUGAGGGGUGAGGGGGUGGGGGACACAGUUGCUUCCCAGUCUUCCACCCCCUCCACUCUUUGGACAACUUUUCCUGGAACCGCCUGCUGUUCUUGGCUGCUGUGGGAAGGAGCCGGCAUCCAGGUGAAGAUGCAGAGCAGUCAGCUGUGAGCCCGGGGGAACUGAUGGAACCAGAUCCUGACCUAAGUCAACUGCUAGGACUCUGUCCCUCAGGGAGUAAAGCACAGAGAACAUUUCCAUCCUGUGUUCACCCACGCCAUCUACCAGAGCUCCUGGUCCCUGCCCAUGACAUAAAGACACCACGAUGAGCUGGGUGUGGGGGGCCACCGGCUCCAGAGGCUGAGGGAGAGUGGACCUGUGCCGCUCUGUGCUCAACCAGUUCACCAAAGACCCGGCAACCAGCUCUGACACAGGCAGCCACACCCCGCUUCUGGAAAGCACCACUCAGACUCCAAGGGUGCUUCUUGGCCACCCCUUCCCCCCUGGGGCCCUCCCCCACCGCAGAUCCCGCUGCCAGCUCUGGGGGCUGUGUGGGCCCUGGGCCACCACGAGAAGCAUUUGGUACUGCAGGCUCUUUGAGCUCGGCACGAAAGAAUUCAAGCUCUGCAGUCGGAAAACCAAGCAGCCUUCACAACUUCCUGGUGCAGACCUCGGGCGAGUUGCAGGGCUCCUCUCGAUGUCAGCUCCUCCUUUGUAGCGUGGAGAUAAGAUGUCUCUUGCAAGGUUGCUGUAAAGUUGAGGGGUGAGGGGUGCAGACGCAGAUGUUUGGCACACAGGAGAUGCUCGGGAUGAUGGCUGUUAUCUCAUUCCAGGGCCCAGCUUCUCCCUUGGGCACCCAGCCUGCAGGAAUGUUCCAGGCCACAGGGUCGCUCUUCCUGGCCCCGCCUCUCGCCUUGACCUGGGUCAUUUUUUGCAGCACUUCUCAAAUGCUGCCCUGCACUGUCCUCGUGGCAGAAGGGAACUUUUCAGCUGCUUACAAGCAAGCCACGCACACACGAAAAACUGACUGUUGCCAAUUCUCACCUUCAAAAAUGACAGAUCAUAGUGGAGAUGCUGGCCUCAGGGUUCUGGUUAGCCAGGAGCAGAGGAGAACUUGUCAUUUCAGAGCAGCGGUCAGUGCCUCAUGCUACUAACUGCUGGAGUCUUGGCUUACCUGAGCAAGUUAGUGAGCUUGUGUGUUACUCAGGACUCUUUUCACUGCAAAUGACAGAUUUUCAACCCAAAUCCCUAAAGUAAGAAUAAUAUUUAUUGGUUCACUACAUGGAAAACAGAGUCUGUAGUUGUCCUUAGCUUCAGGUACAGCGGUAUCCAGGGGCUCAGUGGUGUGUCUCCUCGGCUUUCCUCCGUGGGUAACCUCAUCUGUUUAACAGAGGGUGAUGGUAGCUCUAGGUUUCUAGGUCAGGCUGUGUACUUCAAAUUUAGCCACAUCUACAUAUGUCGCAUCCCACAUACUCUCCUAAAACAUAAUGUUGACAGGGGACUUCCCUGGUGGUCCAGUAGCUAAGACUCCACCCUCCCAGUGCAGGAGGCCUGGGUUUGAACCCUGGUCAGGGAACUAGACCCUGCAUGCCACAACAACAAAAAUCAAAGAUCCCCCAUGCCACAGUUAAUGCCCCGUGCAGCCAAGCAAACAAAUAAGUAAUGGUAGUUGAGGAGAUAGCUCUUCAUUCUCUCAACAUCCACAUAUCAUUUCUUAGUAAAGAUUAUUGAUUCAGUGUGGGUGAGUCUCAUCUUUGACCAAUCAUUGUGGCCAGAGGGAUGGAAAACUCUGGCUGGUUAGGCUGGAGCAUGACUCAUGUCCUGGCCUGGUGAAGAAAGGGGACAGGGACGGUCAGCUUGAUCAGGACCCCAGCAAGGAGAAGGGGGAUGCUAAAGGGUGAGCCAUUAGCUAAAGGGUGAGCCAUUCUCACAUGUAAAGCAGGUCCACAACUUACUUGUGAGUUGCUCUACCAUCCAAGAAAGUGUUUUAUUUGUUAAGGCUUAGAUGAUGGAGAGUUGGGGAAAGGA